rnacentral:piRNA from 1 species
UAGCUCUUGACUCAUGACCAAAGUGGACUGC